rnacentral:rRNA from 1 species
GACGAACGCUGGCGGCGUGCUUAACACAUGCAAGUCGAACGGAAAGGCCCUGCUUUUGUGGGGUGCUCGAGUGGCGAACGGGUGAGUAACACGUGAGUAACCUGCCCUUGACUUUGGGAUAACUUCAGGAAACUGGGGCUAAUACCGGAUAGGAGCUCCUGCUGCAUGGUGGGGGUUGGAAAGUUUCGGCGGUUGGGGAUGGACUCGCGGCUUAUCAGCUUGUUGGUGGGGUAGUGGCUUACCAAGGCUUUGACGGGUAGCCGGCCUGAGGGGGUGACCGGCCAAAGGGGGGAGGAAAACCGGCCCACCCGCGGGGGGGGGGAAGAGGGGGGAAUGUUGGAAAAGGGGGGGAAGGCUGUAUGCAGCACCCCGGGGGGGGGAAGGGGGCCUUCGGGUUGGAAACCCGUUUCCGCCUGAGAAGAAGGGGGGGGGGCGGUAGUGGGAAAAGAAGCACCGCAAAACUACGC